CAGUAACGGCGAGUGAAGCGGCAACAGCUCAAAUUUGAAAUCUGGCUCCUUCGGGGUCCGAAUUGUAAUUUGUAGAGAGUGCUUCGGGCGAGACCUCGGUCUAAGUCCAUUGGAACAUGGUGUCAUAGAGGGUGAGAAUCCCGUAUGCGACCGUGGCUCGAGCCCAUGUGAAGCCUCUUCGACGAGUCGAGUUGUUUGGGAAUGCAGCUCAAAAUGGGUGGUAAAUUUCAUCUAAAGCUAAAUACUGGCUGGAGACCGAUAGCGCACAAGUAGAGUGAUCGAAAGAUGAAAAGCACUUUGGAAAGAGAGUCAAACAGUACGUGAAAUUGUUGAAAGGGAAGCGCUUGCAACCAGACCUGCCCGUAGGCGAUCCGCCGCUGUUCUCAGCGGUGUACUCGCUCUGCGAUCAGGCCAGCAUCGGUUUCGGCGGUCGGAUAAAGGCCUUGGGAAUGUAGCUUCCCCUCGGGGGAGUCUUAUAGCCCUCGGUGUAAUGCGGCCAGCUGGGACCGAGGACCGCGCUUCGGCUAGGAUGCUGGCGUAAUGGUUGUAAGCGACCCGUCUUGAAACACGGACCAAGGAGUCUAACAUCUAUGCGAGUGUUUGGGUGUCAAACCCAUACGCGAAAUGAAAGUGAACGGAGGUGAGAACCCUUAAGGGCGCAUCAUCGACCGAUCCAGAUGUCUUCGGAUGGAUUUGAGUAUGAGCAUAGCUGUUGGGACCCGAAAGAUGGUGAACUAUGCCUGAAUAGGGUGAAGCCAGAGGAAACUCUGGUGGAGGCUCGCAGCGGUUCUGACGUGCAAAUCGAUCGUCAAAUUUGGGUAUAGGGGCGAAAGACUAAUC
rnacentral:rRNA from 1 species